rnacentral:lncRNA from 1 species
CAGAAUAUGAAAGGAGCUUUGGCUCAACUUGAAAGUUAUAUUUUGGUGAUGAUGCUGGACAUAGGCAGAUACUGAGAACCAGAUGACUCUAGAACUCUCUCGCUAUGAAGUUACUGUUGAAGAAAAUAUUGUAGAUGCUCCAUGUGACUUAGCAGAGGCAGAAAUUUCUAACAGCAGGAAACAGAGGAAACAGCUUGCUACAUUGCUUUUGCUUUUUGACUAAGAUUCUGUCAGAAUCGAGUGUAACUAAACUCAGAAAUCUUUAGGAGUUAACUUUCAGAGGCUUACAUCCAAAAUAGACACCUGAAGAAAGAAAGGAAUUUAGCUGGAAAUAAAGUACAAUAGUGCAAGGAUCAGUUUGCUGCAGACUUGUAUGGCCAAAGAAGGGCUGAAUGGCAAACUCUUGUCACUUCAUUAGAAACUUAAGCAGAUUACCAUAAAAAAACAUCAGCAGUCUUAGAAAAGGCCCUCUUUGAAAUGAGAUCCAAUCAAAACAAGUGAGGGAAAAAACAGUCUUUGGGAAUCUUUUGAAAGUAGACUUGAGGUAUUACUCUUGAAGCCUGGGCCAGGCUGCUCCUGGAGACUGGCAUGAGGAAGAAUAAUUCUGAAUUGGAGUUGGAGACUCCAAGUUAAAGAAACUGAAAGCUGCUUUAGAAUGUUCUGCUUCUCACCUGGAUGAGUUCUAUUCAGAAUUCUGUGCUUUAGAAGAUGCUAUGAACUCCUAAUUCAUAGAAACUACCUGUAUUUUGGUUGCAUUUAAUCAUCAGUAUGAAUAAAGAACACACCUUUUAAGUGUGCAGAAUCAAGUCAAAAAAACUUCAAGAUAUAUGGAGAACAUAUCAGAAGUUGGCACCACACAAUUUUGUUAACUUUAUGUAUUUCAUCAAGUUCCUUGCAAAGCUUGUUCAGAUCAGUGGUGUUAAUAAGAUUACUUCCAGAAACACUGCAAUCAUUUUAGGCACUAAUUUGUUAUAAACCAAAAAUGAAACAAAAAUCACUCCCUGUAACAUUGUAUUCAUUUUAGGACCUUGCCUCUUAUAAACCAAAAAUAAAGAAACACAACCAUUCACAUGGCUGCAGUGAUUGAAUUGAUUAUUCAGUAUACUGAGCAGAUCUUCUCUAAAGUGGUGAAAUUUAAUUUGUUAGAAGGAUGGGUACUUCUUUAUACCCAGAAUUUCAAUUAUUCAUCCCACACCAGAAAUUCUACUGACUCUAGUACCCUGGGGAGAAAGUGAUGGGUCAGCAUGGUGAUAAUGGAAAUGGACUUGAUUACAGAGGGCUUUGGUGUGAAAUAUAUGGACCUCUAAGCCCAUAAGCAGAAUGGCGUUGUAAAGGAAGCAAAUACCCCCAGCAUUCAGUUAUCGCUCCUGCCCACAGAUGGUACCACCUUGGCUUUGGCAGGCACAGAGUAUCCACUCAGAGCUCUAGGGCUAAAAGCAGGGUGGAGGAUUGGCCUAUUCUCUCUUUUGUGGACACACUGGAGCAGAGAUUGAGCCUAGGCCGUGGCAGUUCUUCAAAACCCAAAGAUCUGUAUCUGCUACUCUACCC